rnacentral:rRNA from 1 species
AAUAUUGGACUAUGGGUGGAACGCUGAUCCAGCCUUGCCGCGUGUUUGAAGAAGGUCCUCGGUUUGAAAAGCACUUUAAGUUGGGAGGCAGGGGUUGAAGCUAAUACCUUCAAUCUUUGACGUUACCAACAGAAUAAGCACCGGCUAACUCUGUGCCAUCAGCCGCGUUAAUACAGAGGGUGCAAUCGUUAAUCGGAAUUCCUUGGCGUAAAGCACGCGUAGGUGGUACAGUAAGAUAGGAGUGAAGUCCCCGGGAUUAACCUGGGAACUGCUUUCAUUACGGAUGGGCUAGAGUACGGUAGAGGGUAGUGGAAUUUCCUGUAUAACGGAGAAAUGCGUAGAUAUAGGAAGGAACACCAGUGACGAAGGCGACUACCUGGACUGAUACUGACAAUGAGGUGCGAAAGCGUGGGGAGCAAACAGG